AAAAGGGGGCCUCGCGAGGAGGAGCCGCUUAACCGGGUCAGGCCUUAAUCGGAGCAGCCCUAGGAGGUGUACUCUUGUGCGAGGUCCCUUUUUCGC
rnacentral:SRP_RNA from 2 species